UCUAAAGAUGAUUCACCAGUUUGGGCAAGUGCAUUGUUUGCAAGAACCCUAGCCUCGGGAAAUAUAUUGUUUAUCUCUUUUUACUUCGACUCCGACUGAAACAGGUGCGGGGAUUUCGUUUCUUCGUAGCUAGACUCAUGAAAAAGUUAUCAACGUUAAUUAUAUUUCUUUAAAUGGAAUCGUAUAAUUUUUAAUUGAAAAAUCAUCUUUGUUCUCCGAGUCUGUUUCGCUCGGUUGAACCAGCAACUCCAGACGACUCGACUCAGACGUUCAGUGCGUUCAGUGUUUUCGGUGCGUUUGGCAGCGGAGAGUCACCGCUAGAAUUACGGCAUUAACUCGAAUGAUGAGUGAGAGUCACUGUUGGAACGCAAAGGGUUAAAAAAUAUAUAUAUAAAAGAAAGAAUAUCUUCAAAAUGGAAGAAGAAUAUCAAGGCAAGAAGAAAGAAGUAUUUCACGAA